GACAGCUGGAGAAGAAAAAAGAGGAGGACAGUUAGUUACAACAAACCCACAGGUACAAAAGACCAAGCACGGAAAAGAGUGAGGACGAGUGCAAUGGUGGACACCCUAUGAUCCCAAAAGGGGCGAAGAGGAUUGAGUCAAAUAAGUCACAGGUGUCCAUCUCAAUGAACCUGGGCAUACCUGGAACUACCGCCACUCUUGUUGUCAGAGAGUCCGAAUUCAUUCGGCAUCAUGGCUGCAAGGAUGAGGAUUCUUGGUUGUCCAAUCAAGUGUACCCCUGAAAAAGGCUAAGGGCAUGUUUGGCCCUCCACGGAGGAAGCUCAUGAGCCAAACGCAAGAUACGUGCCUCACGCUUUUGCUGAGACACCGCUCCCUUCUGGCAACUACCAUCGUGGAGGCUUGUGGCAGGGGGACAACAAUCUCAAGAGCCAGGGAGACCCUCUCGUGACAAGGCUUGCAAGUUAAACGACUUCCUCUGCCCCUGGUCAUGUGCCAUGUCAGGAAGACAUAGUUAGGAGAGGACAACAACCCAAGGCCAGACAAUCAUGCAGAAUAGGCCUUUCUUUGGACUGCUGACACACACAAACCUCUUGAUGGACACAGACUCAGUUCUUUGUGUGUAAUGUGAACCAAAGUACUUUGUACAAAAUGUAUAGUUUUAAUCUUGUUAAUAAAAUUAAACCUGA